GCGUUUGGGGGGGCUUUUUUGCUCCCCUGCUUAUAAGCACCUCGACAUCUUGCGUUUGGUAAACCAGCUUCUUCCCUACUUUUUCCAGAAGCCAGAGCUUUUUUGAUGGAAAAGCCAAAGCCACUAGUACCUUGCUUUUAGAAGCAGGGGCUGGCUUUUAUCACUGUAGCGGUGAUUACUGUAGUUUAAUGAACUUUCAGAAAUACCGAAUUCUAUCCUCCCCUUGUUUCAGUAAUUACACAAUCCUUCUCUUCUGUGUUCACAUCUCUCCGUUUCGGAAAUACCACUUCAUAACUGGUUUGAUCUCUCUCUCUCUCUGACUGCUUUCAUCUGGCCUCUCAUCCGUGUUCGAAAUCGAAGCCUCAAUCCUUGAUUGCUGGCUGCUUUGCAAUUUGAUUCAUGGUUGAUUUGGAAAAAUGGAACCAAAUCGAGCAGUUUUCUUCCAGUAGCUUCAAUUUCUUCUUCCUCUUCCUCCCUUUGUUCACUCAAUUCAAACAUGGCUGACUCUCCUAGACGGGUUUCAAAUCAAAAAUGGCUUCAAACUCAAAGCGUCUCAAAUUAUGCUCACACAAUGAAGACAGGAUCAGUGGGUUGCCAGAUGCAAUUCUUUGCCACAUUCUUUCUUUCUUUUCAAUCAGACAGGCUGUAAAGACUAGCAUUUUAUCACAUAAAUGGAGGAAUGUCUGGGCUUAAGUUCCCAAUCUAGAUUUCAAUGAAUAUGAUUAUUACAUGGCUAUGUUUUCCGUACUUUGCCACAACCAGUAAGAUAUGAGUCGGAUUGGUUUGCACAGUUUGUGAA